rnacentral:tRNA from 1 species
UCCGGGGUGGUGCAAUCGGUAGCACACGGGCCUUUGGAGCCUGGAAUCCUGGUUCGAGUCCAGGCCCCGGAACCA